rnacentral:rRNA from 1 species
GAUGAACGCUGGCGGCGUGCCUAAUACAUGCAAGUCGAGCGAAUGGAUUAAGAGCUUGCUCUUAUGAAGUUAGCGGCGGACGGGUGAGUAACACGUGGGUAACCUGCCCAUAAGACUGGGAUAACUCCGGGAAACCGGGACUAAUACCGGAUAAUAUUUUGAACUGCAUGGUUCAAAAUUGAAAGGCGGCUUCGGCUGUCACUUAUGGCUGGACCCGCGUCGCAUUAGCUAGUGGGUGAGGUAACGGCUCACCAAGGCCAAGAUGGCUAGCAGACAUGAGAGGGUGAUCGGCCACACUGGGACUGAGCCACGGCCCGGACUCCUACGGGAGGCAGCAGUAGGGAAGCUUCCGCAAUGGACGAAAGUCUGACGGAGCAACGCCGCGUGAGUGAUGAAGGCUUUCGGGUCGUAAAACUCUGUUGUUAGGGAAGAACAAGUGCUAGUUGAAUAAGCUGGCACCUUGACGGUACCUAACCAGAAAGCCACGGCUAACUACGUGCCAGCAGCCGCGGUAA